CCCUUAGAUGUUCUGGGCCGCACGCGCGCUACACUGAUACGUUCAACGAGUUUAUAACCUUGAUUGAUAGGUCUGGGUAAUCUUUUGAAUGCGUAUCGUGCUGGGGAUAGAUUAUUGCAAUUAUUAAUCUUGAACGAGGAAUUCCUAGUAAACGCAAGUCAUCAGCUUGCAUUGAUUACGUCCCUGCCCCUUGUACACACCGCCCGUCGCUGCCCGGAACUGAGCCGUUUCGAGAAAGCCGGGGACUGACGGCUUGUGGGUGCGCAAGCGCUUCUUGCCGAUGGAAACCAGUUUAAUCGGUAUGGCUUGAACCGGGCAAAAGUCGUAACA
rnacentral:rRNA from 1 species